GGCACGGGGACUGUGGUUUAUUCGAGCAACGCGCAGAACCUUACCAGCUCUUGACAUUCGGGGUAUGGGCAUUGGAGACGAUGUCCUUCAGUUAGGCUGGCCCCAGAACAGGUGCUGCAUGGCUGUCGUCAGCUCGUGUCGUGAGAUGUUGGGUUAAGUCCCGCAACGAGCGCAACCCUCGCCCUUAGUUGCCAGCAUUUAGUUGGGCACUCUAAGGGGACUGCCGGUGAUAAGCCGAGAGGAAGGUGGGGAUGACGUCAAGUCCUCAUGGCCCUUACGGGCUGGGCUACACACGUGCUACAAUGGUGGUGACAGUGGGCAGCGAGACAGCGAUGUCUAGCUAAUCUCCAAAAGCCAUCUCAGUUCGGAUUGCACUCUGCAACUCGAGUGCAUGAAGUUGGAAUCGCUAGUAAUCGCAGAUCAACUUGCUGCAUGAGAAUACGUUCCCGGGCCUUGAACCCACCUUCAAUAAAUACCCCCAAAAUCGAUAAUUUUGAACC
rnacentral:rRNA from 1 species